rnacentral:tRNA from 5 species
UGGAGGAAUAGCGAAGUGGCUAAACGCGGCGGUCUGUAAAACCGCUCUCUCUGAGUUCAGUGGUUCGAAUCCACUUUCCUCCAU